rnacentral:rRNA from 1 species
GCAGUCGCCACGGUAAUACGGAGGAUCCGAGCGUUAUCCGGAAUUAUUGGGUUUAAAGGGUGCGUAGGCGGAUAGAUAAGUCAGUGGUGAAAGACGGUGGCUCAACCAUCGCAGUGCCGUUGAUACUGUUUAUCUUGAAUAUGGAUGAGGUAGGCGGAAUGUGGCAAGUAGCGGUGAAAUGCAUAGAUAUGCCACAGAACACCGAUUGCGAAGGCAGCUUACCAAGGCAAAAUUGACGCUGAGGCACGAAAGCGUGGGGAUCGAACAGGAUUAAAUACCCCGGUAGUCCCUGUCUCUUAUAC